AUGAACGCUAGCGACAGGCUUAACACAUGCAAGUCGAGGGGCAGCGGGGGUAGCGAUACCCGCCGGCGACCGGCGCACGGGUGAGUAACGCGUAUGCAACUUGCCUAUCAGAGGGGGAUAACCCGGCGAAAGUCGGACUAAUACCGCAUGAAGCAGGGGCCCCGCAUGGGGGUAUUUGCUAAAGAUUCAUCGCUGAUAGAUAGGCAUGCGUUCCAUUAGGCAGUUGGCGGGGUAACGGCCCACCAAACCGACGAUGGAUAGGGGUUCUGAGAGGAAGGUCCCCCACAUUGGUACUGAGACACGGACCAAACUCCUACGGGAGGCAGCAGUGAGGAAUAUUGGUCAAUGGCCGAGAGGCUGAACCAGCCAAGUCGCGUGAGGGAUGAAGGUUCUAUGGAUCGUAAACCUCUUUUAUAAGGGAAUAAAGUGCGGGACGUGUCCCGUUUUGUAUGUACCUUAUGAAUAAGGAUCGGCUAACUCCGUGCCAGCAGCCGCGGUAAUACGGAGGAUCCGAGCGUUAUCCGGAUUUAUUGGGUUUAAAGGGUGCGUAGGCGGCCUUUUAAGUCAGCGGUGAAAGUCUGUGGCUCAACCAUAGAAUUGCCGUUGAAACUGGGGGGCUUGAGUAUGUUUGAGGCAGGCGGAAUGCGUGGUGUAGCGGUGAAAUGCAUAGAUAUCACGCAGAACCCCGAUUGCGAAGGCAGCCUGCCAAGCCAUGACUGACGCUGAUGCACGAAAGCGUGGGGAUCAAACAGGAUUAGAUACCCUGGUAGUCCACGCAGUAAACGAUGAUCACUAGCUGUUUGCGAUACACUGUAAGCGGCACAGCGAAAGCGUUAAGUGAUCCACCUGGGGAGUACGCCGGCAACGGUGAAACUCAAAGGAAUUGACGGGGGCCCGCACAAGCGGAGGAACAUGUGGUUUAAUUCGAUGAUACGCGAGGAACCUUACCCGGGUUUGAACGCAUUCGGACCGAGGUGGAAACACCUUUUCUAGCAAUAGCCGUUUGCGAGGUGCUGCAUGGUUGUCGUCAGCUCGUGCCGUGAGGUGUCGGCUUAAGUGCCAUAACGAGCGCAACCCUUGCCACUAGUUACUAACAGGUAAAGCUGAGGACUCUGGUGGGACUGCCAGCGUAAGCUGCGAGGAAGGCGGGGAUGACGUCAAAUCAGCACGGCCCUUACAUCCGGGGCGACACACGUGUUACAAUGGCGUGGACAAAGGGAAGCCACCUGGCGACAGGGAGCGAAUCCCCAAACCACGUCUCAGUUCGGAUCGGAGUCUGCAACCCGACUCCGUGAAGCUGGAUUCGCUAGUAAUCGCGCAUCAGCCAUGGCGCGGUGAAUACGUUCCCGGGCCUUGUACACACCGCCCGUCAAGCCAUGGGAGCCGGGGGUACCUGAAGUCCGUAACCGAAAGGAUCGGCCUAGGGUAAAACUGGUGACUGGGGCU
rnacentral:rRNA from 1 species